rnacentral:rRNA from 1 species
AUUGAACGCUGGCGGCAGGCCUAACACAUGCAAGUCGAGCGAGCUGCGGACGGGUGAGUAAUGUAUGGGGACUGCCCGAUAGAGGGGGAUAACUACUGGAAACGGUGGCUAAUACCGAAUACUAUCGGAUAACCCAUAUUGGAUUAGCUAGUAGUGGGGGUAAAGGCUCACCUAGGCGACGAGCUCUAGCUGGUCUGAGAGGAGGAUCAGCCACACUGGGAAUGAGACACGGCCCAGACUCCUACGGAGGCAGCAGUGGGGAAUAUUGCACGAUGGGCGCAAUCCUGAUGAAGCCAUGCCGCGUGUAUGAAGAAGGCCUUCGAGUUGUAAAGUACUUUCAGCGAGGAGGCGUUUCUCGCAGAAGAAGCGCCGGCUAACUCCGUGCCAGCCGCCGCGGUAAUUG